CCGGCGACCGGCGCACGGGUGAGUAACACGUAUGCAACCUGGCCGCCACAGGGGGAUAACCCGCGGAAACGCGGCCUAAUACCCCGUGACGCCACCGGAGGGCAUCCUCCGGUGGCCAAAGGAGCGAUCCGGUGGCGGAUGGGCAUGCGGCGCAUUAGCUAGACGGCGGGGUGACGGCCCACCGUGGCGACGAUGCGUAGGGGUUCUGAGAGGAAGGCCCCCCCACACUGGGACUGAGACACGGCCCAGACUCCUACGGAAGGCAGCAG
rnacentral:rRNA from 1 species